GGAGCAGCUGGAGAGGGGGCCGUUACACUGUAAGAGAGUGAGUAGCAGGUCUCACAGUGAACCGGUCUCUUUCCCAGGGGCCAC
rnacentral:pre_miRNA from 13 species